rnacentral:rRNA from 1 species
AUACGGAGGGUGCAAGCGUUAUCCGGAAUCAUUGGGUUUAAAGGGUCCGUAGGCGGACUAUUAAGUCAGAGGUGAAAUCCCACAGUUCAACUGUGGAACUGCCUUUGAUACUGGUAGUCUUGAGUUAUAUGGAAGUAGAUAGAAUGUGUAGUGUAGCGGUGAAAUGCAUAGAUAUUACACAGAAUACCGAUUGCGAAGGCAGUCUACUACGUAUAUACUGACGCUAAGGGACGAAAGCGUGGGGAGCGAACAGGAUUAGAAACCCUAGUAGUCC